CUUGGAGAGCAGGUAAGAGCUAAGAAAACAAAAGUCAUCGAAUUACUUCGAACGUAAGGAGAUGAAUGUGCUCCGCGUCGAUGGGUUCGAGCCAGCUUCAUUGUCUCCAAGGUACCGGCACUUAGUGAGAAAUUCGUUCACAUUGCUUCAAGUGAAUAUUCAGUCGAAUAGCGAAUGAAAAUGUUCAGAAGUCUGUUACGAGUUAAGUGGAUUACACAAGACGUACAAGCGGUGCCACCUGUUGACACGUAGCUCCUAUGUUCCUGGUCCAUUCUAAUGAUUAUGACAUUCUAUUCUGUAAAUUAUAGUUGUCAAUAAACAUUAUUCGAUCAAAAUUUAGAUAGAAAUCAA